CACUCGGAGGAUCAUGGGAUUGCUGAUAGAACGCCUCACAUGAUAACCUGAAGAGUACGUGUUGGUGUGUGUGCAGCAGAGUGUGUUGCAGUGUUUCUACUGCCUUGUGCUUUUGAAAUUUCAGAAUGGCUUUACAGUGUUAACGGACAAUAUUUAAUCUUUAAUGGACUAACAGCAGUCUAGUGCUGGGUUACUAAAACUGGACUUAUUGGAUCAUUUACCCUUAUUUCAACAUGAGCCAUCUUCUACCUCACUAAUGUUGUAUGGCCUGUUGUUGUUUUGCUAUUUCCGGACACUUUCCUGCUACCUGCUGCACACCGGUGAUGUAAACCUAUGCUACACUUUAUCUUUGCACUGUGCUCUGUGCCCCACCCUGUAGGGAUUAUAUGUAGAGGACCUGAGAGUGUGCUUAGUUCGAUAUGAAAGUGCCUUUAUAACUGCACUGAACUGAAUGAAUUGCAAUAUUUAACAGUAAAUAGAAAGAGCGACAGAGAAGGAGUCACUGGGAGGAAAGAAAAGCACACUGUAAUUGAUUAUAUUUGUACAUACAGUGUACUAUGCAGUAUGUGCUUGCUUUGUUUCUUGGUAGAAUGAUGAAUUGGUACCAUGUUCAGUUAAUGUAAGGACACUGUUUUGUGCCAGAGGCCUCUUGAAGUGAAACAUAAAAUGAAAGAAUGGGCUGCAGUGUGUCUUUAUCCAGCUGUGGUCACUGAUUCCUGCAGACACCGAUCCAUAAAAGGUUGACUUCUGUAGUACAAUAUUUGUUGAGACACUCAUUGGUAGAAUUUUGUUUUAUUUCUAAUUUCCAUUAAGUUCUUCACUCCAUACGUCACUAUGUUUUUGUUUUUCACAUUUCUCCACUCAGCAAAAUAUUAUCCACAACAUCUACCAUCUGUCCAGUCUCUUCUUCUGUGGCCUCUUAUUACAUUUCAGAGAAAACACAGACUCAAAUGAAACUGUGACUUUAUUUCCAGCUUUAAAUAUUGGGAAAUCUCAAAUCACUCAUUCAUUUUCUAAAGAAGAUGCACAUGUGUGUGGUGAGCUCCCAUCACGUAACUCAGAUCAGAUCAGGACAGACCCAGUGGUUGUGUGUGUGUGUGUGUGUGUGUGUGUGUGUGUGUGUGUCAUUGUCUAAUUCUCUCUCUCCUAAUCUUUUCAUAUCACAAUCUUGCUUUCUCUCAUGGGAAUUCUCAAGGAGCACAAGACAAACAGGGCUUUGGCAACAACAAGUUGCUGCUUAGCAACACUCAGCAAAAGCUUUGACACAGAACUUCUGCUAAGUGCACCAAUGAACUGCAAUCAACUAGAAACUUUUGACGGCCUGCAUUACAGCCAGUCAAUAAAGUAAGUGGAGGGGAUUAAACAAGACAACCAAGGCCACUCAUGAAUAUGGAGGAAUAUUUCCACUGUCUGAAUUAUUCAUAUAAACGUGCCAGGUAGCUCUGUAAAUAGAAAAUGUGCAGUCACUGUAUAAAAGAGUUGAAUAGUUUCUUCUGGAAAAAGCUAUCAUUUGUAUUUGGCUAUGUGAAGGUUUUUGCUCAAUAAAAUACUCAGUGGCACUCUAAUAAAAAACUCAUUCAAGACAGAAAAAUUUAAAAACAUUACACUUAGUAAAUGUAAAUUACAUAUUAGAGUAAAAAUAUACACAGGAAACAUGGCUGCAUGAGCAAGAAGUAGAAACAUGUCAAGUGUUAUUGUGCAAAGCCUUGAGUCACCAGUUCCUUAAAGGACUGGUGUGUAGGAUUUAGUGGCAUCUAGUGGUGAUGCAGACUGCAACCAACUGAAUACCACUCGCCUCGCCUUCCCUUCCAAGCAUGUAGGUGAAACUAGCACAGCCAAUCAAACUGCAGGAUGAGGAUUCUUUGUGUCGUGUUGUUUUAAUACAGAUGAAAGUCAGUAAUUCCCAUAAUACUGUGAGUAACCACAAUCUGAUUUCAUGGUGCACAUGGAGCGAGAGGUUUUCCAGCAGUGGGCAGUAAAAGAAGUUGUUUACCUUAAUGUUGAGUUGGAGUUGUGCAGCCUGUCGCCUGCAGCUCUUCAUCUAACUCUUAUUCACUCAGGCUGUUCUUUAAGGCUACAACAAAAUACUGCUACAUAUAUUAAGUGAUCAACAGCAGCGCGACCCCCCUGUGGCUUCUUUAUAAUGAAAGCCAUUAUUAGUAACGCCAGUUCAAUGCUUUAAUGUGAACCAGCGACAGAAGGAAAUGUUGGGUUUCCAUUAGCACUAAUACAGCUGCAGAGAGCUAUCAGCAGACAGUGAGGCUUCUAUCAGUGAGUGCAAACAAUGCACGAGUGUACUGAAGCACACUCACGCAUUGUUUGUUGUGAAUCCCUUGUUUGUGUGUGUGUGUGUGGAGGUAGUUUGAAUCCUGUAACUACAAUAUACAGAGCUACUGAAUGUGAAUACAUUGAUUAGAAAAACAGACAUAUAUUCAAUGAAAAAUGGGUUUUGAAACAAUGAAAAUCUUUUAUAACUUUUAUAAAUUAUAACUUAUACUUAACAAAUUUCCCCCCGGGGAUCAAUAAAGUAUUUCUGAUUCUGAUUAUAUUAUCACUUAUAAUGUUAAAUGCCUUUGGAGUGAAUGAGUUCUGUCCUUUUUCAGACAUGCCGGCUUUAUGCUAACCCCUUACACUGGGGUCCAUCAGUGUUGGAAAUGCAUACAUCGGGUAUAACUGAUAACUCUUGUGGAUUCAAAGAGCCUGACUGUAUUCAUGUGUGAUGAAUAGCAGCCAUUUCAGUGAGACCAUUUUAUGAAACUUGACCUCACUGUAUAAAAGGACCUCAUGAAACCGUACAACCACAAACUAGAGACUGAGUGCAUUCAGAGGAUGGAGGGCUUUCCUGGCUACACUGACACCACUGAUUUCCCACCAUAUUUUAGUUGUACAAACAACAGUGGGCGAGGCUGAGAUUGGAGGGAAGUUAACUAGUAUUAUGUCAUCCAAAGCUGAAUGCCCCCCCCCCAGUUCAAAACUCACAGCUGUUAAUGUAAAACUCUUUUCUUUUUUUUUCUAUUCAUGAGAAUCAAUAAUAAAUCAAAAUGCUGCGUUAUAAGACAUCCACUUAUCCUUGUCACUAGUACAAUAACUCAUCUUUAUUUCCAGACAGUCCAUCUCAUUCAUCACCUCAUUGCUCAGAAGGCACAAACAGCAUGUGGGACAUUAGUUCUGUUGCGACUCAGUGUUUCCCCCGCAUUAAUUAUUAAUUGUCACUGAAGUGAGGAGAGAUGUACACACCUCUGGGUGAAAGUGAUUUGAGACAGUUUGUUAAAAAUUGAACAGCAAUCUAUAUGUAUUUUUCAAGUUAAUGUGCCUGUAAUUCAAACUGCAUUUUAAUACUAAGUGUUUAUACAGUAAAAAUCACUGAAGUAUGAAGUUUUGCAUUUAAUUUAAAAUUUUAAUGAAA